UACGGAGGAUCCAAGCGUUAUCCGGAAUCAUUGGGUUUAAAGGGUCCGUAGGCGGUUUAAUAAGUCAGUGGUGAAAGCCCAUCGCUCAACGGUGGAACGGCCAUUGAUACUGUUAAACUUGAAUUAUUAGGAAGUAACUAGAAUAUGUAGUGUAGCGGUGAAAUGCUUAGAGAUUACAUGGAAUACCAAUUGCGAAGGCAGGUUACUACUAAUGAUUGACGCUGAUGGACGAAAGCGUGGGUAGCGAACAGG
rnacentral:rRNA from 1 species